rnacentral:rRNA from 1 species
GAUGAACGCUAGCGACAGGCUUAACACACGCAAGUCGAGGGGCAGCACGGGAGUAGCAAUACAACUGGCGUCGACCGGCGCACGGGUGAGUAACGCGUAUCCAACCUGCCCACCACUUGGGGAUAACCUUGCGAAAGUAAGACUAAUACCCAAUGAUAUCUCUAGAAGACAUCUGAAAGAGAUUAAAGAUUUAUCGGUGAUGGAUGGGGAUGCGUCUGAUUAGCUUGUUGGCGGGGUAACGGCCCACCAAGGCUACGAUCAGUAGGGGUUCUGAGAGGAAGGUCCCCCACAUUGGAACUGAGACACGGUCCAAACUCCUACGGGAGGCAGCAGUGAGGAAUAUUGGUCAAUGGACGAGAGUCUGAACCAGCCAAGUAGCGUGCAGGAUGACGGCCCUAUGGGUUGUAAACUGCUUUUAUAAGGGAAUAAAGUGAGUCUCGUGAGACUUUUUGCAUGUACCUUAUGAAUAAGGACCGGCUAAUUCCGUGCCAGCAGCCGCGGUAA